GGAGGCCAAACACUGGUGAGGGGAGCAGUGAGCAGCAACGGUGGCCGUGAUCGGGAAUAAUUUUUUGUGAUUCAACCCCCAAUUCCAACCCUUGAUGCUGAGUGCCAAGCAGCGAGGGAUGAAGCCCUGCUGCAUGAGCAGAUGCUUGAGAUAGUCGUCAUCCACUGGGACUUCGGCCACCAUGUUACUCGGCACGUAGCCCGAGAGGCCGCCCGAUUCUCCGUGGUAGAAGCCGUCGCAGUCUUUGUCCCCGAACACCUAGACAGGUGCAAAGACACUCGGCUGUUGCGGUUUUUUGUUGGCGACCGAUAAACAGGCGCAGCUGCUGACAUCUUCAGUUAAAUGGCGGUAAGUUUAAACAGGAAGUGAGAAGAAAUGUGCUCAUUCAAGCGAAAGAAAACAGGAAACUGUUUGAUCCUGUCAGGGAUACUUCAGUGGCCACGCUUGCACAGUCUGACAUGAUUAAUUUCAAAAAUAUUUUGCAAACGUUCUCUUUUUUUUCAAGAAAAUGUAACUGUGUUCUUAUAUGUGUAUUUCUUAUAUCUUGUAUUAACAUUUUUCUUAAAAAGAUGUGAUUUUUUUUUGUGAUACUUCACAACUUUUUCGCAACAAUAUAUAACAGGGUUAUCGUGAUAGCAGACUCAAUUGAAUUUUCACGAUUCGAUUUGAUCCCACAAUAAAAAAUAAAACAAACUAAUUUAAAUGCACUCCUUUUUUUUAAAACUGUAUCAGACUGUAAGUAUUUGAGAUCACAGCGCUUCAACAAAUAUUUGAACAUAACUUAAAUUGUAGUAUGUGCUGCCAAGAGCUAAAUAACAAACAACAAUACUGGGCUUAUAAAUAUGCUCAUUAAAAAAAAAAAAA